rnacentral:tRNA from 1 species
GGUAGCUCAGUGGUAGAGUGCUUGCCUUGUGUGCAUGAGGCCCUGGGUUCAAUUCCUCAGUACCA